rnacentral:rRNA from 1 species
UCGUGGAGUGAUUCGUCUUGUUAAUUCAGAUAACGAGCGAGACCUUAACCUGCUAAUUAGCUAGAAAGGGUUCGCCCUCAUCGAACAGAAUCUGUAAGGAUUCACUAGAUUUUCUAGAGAUACCAUUCGUGGUAUUACUUCUUAGAGGUACAGCACUCGCACAAUAGAGUGAGGAAGUUUAAGGCGAUAACA